CUUAUGUAAAGUAUUUUCACUAAAAUAGAUAAAGCAGUUUGAAAUUUUAACUGUUUAACAGUAAGAAGAUGACUUGCAGAAUUAAAAGUAUCAGAAUCUGUCUAAAGUAUAAUUUUGUCUAUUGCAUAUAAAACUGGUGGUUGAAGGCCGUGAAUAUACUUCUUCUAUUGACAAUUGCAAAGUACUUUGUCUUUUUGAAUAACAGAUAACAUAGAGCUACCUAUUAUUAUAAUAUACACACUACAUUGGACUGGACUUAUAUAUAAUGAAUUUGUAUAAUUUGUGUAGACUGUUAAGUAUAACACUUAAUUAUUUUUUUAAACUAUUAGUAUUAUUUUUUAUUUCGAAGAUAUUUCAGGGGGGGGGGGUUACAACCCAUAAACCCAACCACUUGGAUAUGCCACUGCUGUGAUAUGUUGAAAUAAAAUUUUCUUUUUAUAGCAGCUAUACAUUUUUCUUUAACUACAUUAUUAUUUGGAAAUCAAUACAAAAAAGAUUUUGUAAAAUAAUUGUUACAUUACAGUAAAAUAUAAGAAUUAAACUCUAUGAUUAUUUUAUAGUUCAAUGGUUACUAUUAUACUAUUAUUAUAUUGUUGAAUUAUCAAUGAUAUUAUAUUAUUCUGUAUAUUCUUAUCUAUCUCUGUAACUAUGAC